rnacentral:rRNA from 1 species
GUGCCAGCAGCCGCGGUAACACGUAGGGUGCGAGCGUUGUCCGGAAUUAUUGGGCGUAAAGAGCUCGUAGGCGGUGUGUCGCGUCGGCCGUGAAAACCUGGGGCUUAACUCUGAGCGUGCGGUCGAUACGGGCAUCACUUGAGUUCGGCAGGGGAGACUGGAAUUCCUGGUGUAGCGGUGAAAUGCGCAGAUAUCAGGAGGAACACCGGUGGCGAAGGCGGGUCUCUGGGCCGAUACUGACGCUGAGGAGCGAAAGCGUGGGGAGCGAACAGGAUUAGAUACCCUGGUAGUCC